UUAAAAGUUUAAUGGCUUAAUCUUGCUUUACUGUUUGACUUACACGUCUAUCAGUUGCGUAAGCAGGGCAUAUGA
rnacentral:rRNA from 15 species